CCAGACUCCUACGGGAGGCAGCAGUGAGGAAUAUUGGUCAAUGGGCGAGAGCCUGAACCAGCCAAGUCGCGUGAGGGAGUACUGCCCUAUGGGUUGUAAACCCCUUUUGUCGGGGAGCAAAAGCCGGACGUGUCCGUCUGUGAGAGUACCCGAAGAAAAAGCAUCGGCUAACUCCGUGCCAGCAGCCGCGGUAAUACGGAGGAUGCGAGCGUUAUCCGGAUUUAUUGGGUUUAAAGGGUGCGCAGGCGGAUUUUUAAGUCAGCGGUCAAAUCGUGGGGCUCAACCCCAUCCAGCCGUUGAAACUGGCUGUCUUGAGAUGUCGAGAGGUAUGCGGAAUGCGCAGUGUAGCGGUGAAAUGCUUAGAUAUUGCGCAGAACUCCGAUUGCGAAGGCAGCAUACCGGCGGCGAUCUGACGCUGAGGCACGAAAGCGUGGGUAUCGAACAGGAUUAGAUACCCGAGUAC
rnacentral:rRNA from 1 species